CAAAGCUGUCUCUUACGGCCUAGCCAAUGAAAUUGAUCCUCCAGUACAAAAGCUGGAAUAAACUCAUAAGACGAGAAGACCCUGUGGAGCUUUAAAACCAAGAUCAUUAAACUAUGCUCCUUGGAUUUUUAGUUGGGGCGACUUUGGAGCAAAAAAAACCCUCCAAAACAUAAAUUUAAUUAUUUAGACCAACACACCAAGAAAAUUAUAUUAGACCCAGCAGUAUUUUUUUACUGUCUGACCAAUGAACCAAGUUACCCCAGGGAUAACAGCGCUAUCCUCUUCUAGAGUCCCUAUCGACAAGAGGGUUUACGACCUCGAUGUUGGAUCAGGACACCCC
rnacentral:rRNA from 1 species